AGAGCAGAGUGAGCUGCGGUCAUGAUUGAAGGCAGGGAUGCUAGCAGCAAGGACCCCAAAGAAUUAUCAGCAUUGGGGCCCAAACUUCCCCCCAGGCUGGGGGAAACUGGGGUCCCAGAAGAGCACGGGGGAUUCAGCGAUUUCCCUGCAGCCUGAGAGGAGUCUCGGGCAUCUAAGGAAAAGAGAGUGGGUAUCCCUGAAGGGAGGGGAAGCUGACCUGGUUUCCACCCAGGGCAACGGGCACAGAAGCCCCAUGACAAGACCUGGAAAUGCCGGGCGCGGUGGCUCACGCCUGUAAUCCCAGCACUUUGGGAGGCUGAGACGGGUGGAUCACGAGGUCAGGAGAUCGAGACCAUCCUGGCUAACACGGUGAAACCCCAUCUCUACUAAAAAUACAAAAAAUUAGCCGGGCGCGGUGGCGGGCGCCUGUAGUCCCAGCUACUCGGGAGGCUGAGGCAGGAGAAUGGCGUGAACCCAGGAGGCAAAGCUUGCAGAGAGCGGAGAUUGCGCCACUGCACUCCAACCUGGGCGACAGAGCAAGAUUCCGUCUCGGAAAAAAAAAAAAAAAACAAAAACAAAAUAAAAUAAAAAAUAAAAAAAGACCUGGAAGUAUCUCUGCCCGGUGGUGUCUCUGAUCCUGCUUCUCCUGGUUGUUCUCCUCAGUGUGCUUCUGUCCAGAGGUAAGGCGGCUGAAUCAGGGGGACCAGGUGGCCCCGGGACAGCAGCCAUGAGGGCUCCCAACCUGUAGGGUGGGUCGGAUUCGGAAACGCUGGGAUAGGGGUGGAGCCGGAGGGGCUGCUGGUCGUGUCCCUGGGGGUGACCAUGGUGACACAGGAGGGAGCUGACCUCCUCACCAGCCUCAGAGGGAGGCAUGCGGGGGUGUGUAUGAACUGAAGGAGCAGAAUCAUUAGCGAGCAGGUUUGAGUCAUUGGUGAGCACCUCCCCUAAGCCCAGCCCUGAGCUGGGAUUAGAACCUCCAGGCUGCCUGCA
rnacentral:lncRNA from 1 species